rnacentral:rRNA from 1 species
UAACACGUGGGCAACCUACCCUAUAGUUUGGGAUAACUCCGGGAAACCGGGGCUAAUACCGAAUAAUCUAUGUCACCUCAUGGUGACAUACUGAAAGACGGUUUCGGCUGUCGCUAUAGGAUGGGCCCGCGGCGCAUUAGCUAGUUGGUGAGGUAAUGGCUCACCAAGGCGACGAUGCGUAGCCGACCUGAGAGGGUGAUCGGCCACACUGGGACUGAGACACGGCCCAGACUCCUACGGGAGGCAGCAGUAGGGAAUCUUCCACAAUGGGCGAAAGCCUGAUGGAGCAACGCCGCGUGAGUGAAGAAGGUUUUCGGAUCGUAAAACUCUGUUGUAAGGGAAGAACAAGUACAGUAGUAACUGGCUGUACCUUGACGGUACCUUAUUAGAAAGCCACGGCUAACUACGUGCCAGCAGCCGCGGUAAUACGUAGGUGGCAAGCGUUGUCCGGAAUUAUUGGGCGUAAAGCGCGCGCAGGCGGUCCUUUAAGUCUGAUGUGAAAGCCCACGGCUCAACCGUGGAGGGUCAUUGGAAACUGGGGGACUUGAGU